rnacentral:other from 1 species
UUUCCCCUGCGCUGUGCGCGAUGGGUGACGAUGCUCUGAACCGUAGCGCGCAAUCGGGAGCCGACCGUGUGUCCUUGCGCGUCCCUCGAUCGCGGGUGAGCGCGGUGCGCUCGUGAGCCUGGUUCGCUGGGACGCCUCAAAGCACAUCUGCGGUUCCCACCUGUCACAGACAGGUUCGAGUAGGCACCCACACGGCAGAGGUGGGGGAUUU